rnacentral:misc_RNA from 1 species
UCAAACUUGGUCAUUUAGAGGAAGUAAAAGUCGUAACAAGGUUUCCGUAGGUGAACCUGCGGAAGGAUCAUUAACAAAUUGUCCACCAUCAUGGAUAAUUUUAUCCAUAUUCACCUUGUGUGCAUCAUAGAAGCGUUUGUUGGCAGGCUAAGGCUUUUUCUGUCGAAGGGGUCUGUGGGUUUGGCACUGGCAUUUUCGCCAGCGCUUGUGCUCGGCCUGCCAAUUUUUAUUAUGUUUAAAACUUGUCUAAAUAAGCAUUGGUCUGAAAUAUAAAUAGUAUAAACAAUUACAACUUUCAACAACGGAUCUCUUGGCUCUCGCAUCGAUGAAGAACGCAGC